ACUCCUACGGGAGGCAGCAGUGGGGAAUAUUGCACAAUGGGGGAAACCCUGAUGCAGCCAUGCCGCGUGUGUGAAGAAGGCCUUCGGGUUGUAAAGCACUUUCAGUAGGGAGGAAGGUAGUGUAGUUAACACCUGCAUUAUUUGACGUUACCUACAGAAGAAACCCCGGCUAACUCCGUGCCAGCAGCCGCGGUAAUACGGAGGGGUUAGCGUUGUUCGGAAUUACUGGGCGUAAAGCGCACGUAGGCGGAUCGGAAAGUUGGGGUGAAAUCCCGGGGCUCAACCCCGGAACGGCCUCCAAAACUAUCGGUCUAGAGUUCGAGAGAGGUGAGUGGAAUUCCGAGUGUAGAGGUGAAAUUCGUAGAUAUUCGGAGGAACACCAGUGGCGAAGGCGGCUCACUGGCUCGAUACUGACGCUGAGGUGCGAAAGUGUGGGGAGCAAACAGGAUUAGAUACCCUGGUAGGAUAGCGU
rnacentral:rRNA from 1 species